UACGGAGGGUGCGAGCGUUAAUCGGAAUUACUGGGCGUAAAGCGUGCGUAGGUGGUUGAUUAAGUUAUCUGUGAAAUUCCUGGGCUUAACCUGGGCAGGUCAGAUGAUACUGGUUGACUCGAGUAUGGGAGAGGGUAGUGGAAUUUCCGGUGUAGCGGUGAAAUGCGUAGAGAUCGGAAGGAACACCAGUGGCGAAGGCGGCUACCUGGCCUAAUACUGACACUGAGGCACGAAAGCGUGGGGAGCAAAUAGG
rnacentral:rRNA from 1 species